GAUGAACGCUGGCGGCGUGCUUAACACAUGCAAGUCGAACGAAGCAUUUAGGACAGAUUACUUCGGUUUAAAGUUCUUUAUGUCUGAGUGGCGGACGGGUGAGUAACGCGUGGGUAACCUGCCUUGUACUGGGGGAUAGCAGCUGGAAACGGCUGGUAAUACCGCAUAAGCGCACAAUGUUGCAUGACAUGGUGUGAAAAACUCCGGUGGUAUAAGAUGGACCCGCGUCUGAUUAGCUAGUUGGUGAGAUAACAGCCCACCAAGGCGACGAUCAGUAGCCGACCUGAGAGGGUGACCGGCCACAUUGGGACUGAGACACGGCCCAGACUCCUACGGGAGGCAGCAGUGGGGAAUAUUGCAAAAUGGAGGAAACUCUGAUGCAGCGACGCCGCGUGAGUGAAGAAGUAAUUCGUGAUGUAAAGCUCUAUAAGCAGGGAAGAUAGUGACGGUACCUGACUAAGAAGCUCCGGCUAAAUACGUG
rnacentral:rRNA from 1 species